rnacentral:rRNA from 1 species
CAUCGAUGAAGAACGCAGCGAAAUGCGAUAAGUAAUGUGAAUUGCAGAAUUCAGUGAAUCAUCGAAUCUUUGAACGCACAUUGCGCCCGCCAGCAUUCUGCGGGCAUGCCUGUUCGAGCGUCA